CAGCAGCCACGGUAAUACGAAGGGGGCUAGCGUUGUUCGGAUUUACUGGGCGUAAAGGGCGCGUAGGCGGACUGAUAAGUCAGGGGUGAAAUCCCAAGGCUCAACCUUGGAACUGCCUUUGAUACUGUAUGUCUUGAGUUCGAGAGAGGUAAGUGGAACUGCGAGUGUAGAGGUGAAAUUCGUAGAUAUUCGCAAGAACACCAGUGGCGAAGGCGGCUUACUGGCUCGAAACUGACGCUGAGGCGCGAAAGCGUGGGGAGCAAACAGGAUUAGAUACCCCUGUAGUCCCUGUCUCUUAUAC
rnacentral:rRNA from 1 species